rnacentral:rRNA from 1 species
GACGAACGCUGGCGGCGUGCUUAACACAUGCAAGUCGAACGAAGUGGCGAACGGGUGAGUAACGCGUAAUCAACCUGCCCUUCAGAGGGGGACAACAGGUGGAAACGACUGAUAAUACCGCAUACUGAGGGAGGGGAGUGCGUCUGAGUAGCUAGUGGGAGGGGUAACGGCCCACCAGGGCGAGGAGCAGUAGCCGGUUUGAGAGGAUGACCGGCGACAUUGGGCCUGAGACACGGCCCAGACUCCUACGGGAGGCAGCAGUGGGGAAUCUUCCGCAAUGGACGAAAGUCUGACGGAGCAACGCCGCGUGAGUGAUGACGGCCUUCGGGUUGUAAAGCUCUGUUAAUCGGGACGCGGUACCGGAAUAGAAAGCCACGGCUAACUACGUGCCAGCAGCCGCGGUAAUUC